rnacentral:rRNA from 1 species
CUGGUUUUCUUUUAAAAGAUGGCUCUGCUAUCACUUCUGGAUGGACCCGCGGCGCAUUAGCUAGUUGGUGAGGUAACGGCUCACCAAGGCGAUGAUGCGUAGCCGACCUGAGAGGGUAAUCGGCCACAUUGGGACUGAGACACGGCCCAGACUCCUACGGGAGGCAGCAGUAGGGAAUCUUCCACAAUGGACGCAAGUCUGAUGGAGCAACGCCGCGUGAGUGAAGAAGGGUUUCGGCUCGUAAAGCUCUGUUGUUAAAGAAGAACGUGGGUGAGAGUAACUGUUCACCCAGUGACGGUAUUUAACCAGAAAGCCACGGCUAACUACGUGCCAGCAGCCGCGGUAAUACGUAGGUGGCAAGCGUUAUCCGGAUUUAUUGGGCGUAAAGCGAGCGCAGGCGGUCUUUUAAGUCUAAUGUGAAAGCCUUCGGCUCAACCGAAGAAGUGCAUUGGAAACUGGGAGACUUGAGUGCAGAAGAGGACAGUGGAACUCCAUGUGUAGCGGUGAAAUGCGUAGAUAUAUGGAAGAACACCAGUGGCGAAGGCGGCUGUCUGGUCUGUAACUGACGCUGAGGCUCGAAAGCAUGGGUAGCGAACAGGAUUAGAUACCCUGGUAGUCCAUGCCGUAAACGAUGAUUACUAAGUGUUGGAGGGUUUCCGCCCUUCAGUGCUGCAGCUAACGCAUUAAGUAAUCCGCCUGGGGAGUACGACCGCAAGGUUGAAACUCAAAAGAAUUGACGGGGGCCCGCACAAGCGGUGGAGCAUGUGGUUUAAUUCGAAGCUACGCGAAGAACCUUACCAGGUCUUGACAUCUUCUGCCAACCUAAGAGAUUAGGCGUUCCCUUCGGGGACAGAAUGACAGGUGGUGCAUGGUUGUCGUCAGCUCGUGUCGUGAGAUGUUGGGUUAAGUCCCGCAACGAGCGCAACCCUUAUUACUAGUUGCCAGCAUUCAGUUGGGCACUCUAGUGAGACUGCCGGUGACAAACCGGAGGAAGGUGGGGACGACGUCAAAUCAUCAUGCCCCUUAUGACCUGGGCUACACACGUGCUACAAUGGAUGGUACAACGAGUCGCGAAACCGCGAGGUUUAGCUAAUCUCUUAAAACCAUUCUCAGUUCGGACUGUAGGCUGCAACUCGCCUACACGAAGUCGGAAUCGCUAGUAAUCGCGGAUCAGCAUGCCGCGGUGAAUACGUUCCCGGGCCUUGUACACACCGCCCGUCACACCAUGAGAGUUUGUAACACCCAAA